GACGAACGCUGGCGGCGUGCUUAACACAUGCAAGUCGAACGGAAAGGCCCUGCUUUUGUGGGGUGCUCGAGUGGCGAACGGGUGAGUAACACGUGAGUAACCUGCCCUUGACUUUGGGAUAACUUCAGGAAACUGGGGCUAAUACCGGAUAGGAGCUCCUGCUGCAUGGUGGGGGUUGGAAAGUUUCGGCGGUUGGGGAUGGACUCGCGGCUUAUCAGCUUGUUGGUGGGGUAGUGGCUUACCAAGGCUUUGACGGGUAGCCGGCCUGAGAGGGUGACCGGCCACAUUGGGACUGAGAUACGGCCCAGACUCCUACGGGAGGCAGCAGUGGGGAAUAUUGCACAAUGGGCGGAAGCCUGAUGCAGCAACGCCGCGUGCGGGAUGACGGCCUGCGGGUUGUAAACCGCUUUCGCCUGUGACGAAGCGUGAGUGACGGUAAUGGGUAAAGAAGCACCGGCUAACUACGUG
rnacentral:rRNA from 1 species